rnacentral:rRNA from 1 species
AUGAUGAAGAUGUCUCGCCAGCAUGGGCCGCUGAUGCACCUCAGACUAGGUGAGUUCCCAACGGUGAUCGUCUCCAGCGCCAAGACAGCGGCACUGGUUAUGAAGACCAACGACCUCGACUUCGCAAGCCGGCCCCGCAGUCCGUUGCAGGAUAUCAUGAGCUGUGGCGAUAUGGGCAUCAUCUUCGGCCUCUACGGGGAUCGGUGGCGCCAGAUGCGCAAGAUCUGUAUCGUGGAGCUUCUCAGUUCCAAGCAGGUGAGGCGUAUGGAGGGCAUCAAGGCCAAUGAGGUAGGUGACCUCCUCCAUUCCAUGGCCACCGCCGGUGCUACCGUAAAUGUAAGCGCGAAGAUGGCAACACUCAGCAGCAAUGUCGUGACGCGUUUCGGCGGCAAGUUCACACGGCAGGAUGACUACCUCCACGAGCUAAGCAAGGUGAACGAGCUUAUGGGCAGCUUCUGCCUCGUGGAACUUUUCCUGUCAUCACGGCUGGUGCGGUUGCUCAGCAAUGGUGAGCACCUUAUGAGGAGCAGCUAUGACCGUAUCCAGCACAUCAUCACUGAGAUCAUUGAGGGGCGCAAGGCUGCGUGA